ACUUUCCUGUGCCACAGAUAAAAAGAGUAAGUGUGAAACGGAGAAAAACAAAACAACAACAAACAAACAAACAAACCGUAAAGGCGAGAGCAUUGUGGUCAAUGAAAGAUUGAAUAGCAGUCUAUUUCUUUGAUUCCCCCCAACCCCCAAGCUUAGAGUCCAUGCCUUGGAAGAAAAACUCUAUGGCUGGGAACUUGGUCAAAAUGCAGCAUCUGCCAAAUCAAUAAUUAUUUCCUUUGGUGUGUGUGGGGGGGGGGGGGGGAGGGGGACCUGUCUUUUUUGUUGUUGU
rnacentral:lncRNA from 1 species